UAUGCUUGUCAUUGGUCAAUUGGUCAAAAACCUAAAAAGUUAUGUACUACCAUAAGUUAUCUUUUCCAAUUUUCGUUUCCCUCCCAAAAGCAACAUACCACACUGUCAACCUCUCAUUGGUCAAAUACCGUAUUUUUCUAUGAUUCCAUUUCCCCUUCUUCUCUUCCUCUCUCCACCACAUUCUUCUUCUCUUUCUUUUCUCUCCUUUUCCGAGCGAUCACGCUUUCUACCACCGUAUCUCCUUUCCGACAGUCACUACUCACCAAGAUUCCAUUUUACUCUAACAAUUUAUUGUUUUCUUGAAGCAAAUAGAUCCAGAUCUAAAACAUUAAUUUGGUUUAACCUUGCAGAUUUAAAGGAAAUCAUACAAAGGAAAAACUGAUGAAGAUGAAAUAGGAUCUACAGAAUGCUUUUCAAUGAUAUUCCACUACGUUCAAAUCGGGUGAGUUUUGCCGAGUUAGGAUUUUCAACCUUGAUGAGUUUUGCCAAGUUAUGUUUUUUCGUUGAAUCAUGUGAUUUUCAACAUUCUGUAUUGUAUUUGAUUUGCUAGAUCUGAACUUUAGUUUGUUUCUUUAUUAUUAGAAAGAUGUGGAAUAUACCCGUGCUCCGACAUUCGCUGUUUCUUGCAGGGCUGAUUUGGUAAUGCGCUGUCUGCCGAGUUUGGUUCAGUGUUGGCUGGUUUUCGUUGGAGGGUGUCAUUCUGGGAGGCGUUUCCAGAGUUAAACGACAUCAUCAAUUUCGUGCAGUUACAACUCUGCUAAAAUUCUUAUCUCAGUAACAGAAAUUAUUCUAAUUUUUUCCAAUGUUCAAAUGGCUUCUUCUUUGCCAUUGGUGUCAGCUAUGAAGGAGUGAUACUACAUGCUACAUUUCGGUUGGUCAUAGGCUGAUAAUCGGUUGAUCAAAGAAACAAUGACCCACUUGCUUUUAGGAGAGUUAACUUGCUCUCAUAAGGAAGAUAACUCUUACAAUGAAGAAUGGGACAGGAAAUUAGAGUACAAAAGAUAGCACUGAGGAUUGGGGGUGUCUCAACAAGUUGAAUGUUUCAUGUUUACAAUAUUUAAUUUCAGCUGGGAUCACUUGAUUAGUUUGAAAGCAAGGGUUUCUUUUUUAAUCCUUCUAUUAGUUAAUUAAGUAGAUAUAUUAACCCCCUCAUGCGAAGACUAUGCACAUUAUUUGUAUUUUUUGUUAUACUCCUAUUUUAUUUCAUCUGGCUGAUUAUUAUAAACCUUGCACUACCAGCUUUUGAUUUCAUAGUCUUUCUUAGUGCAAGAUAGAUUUGUUGGCUUUAGUAUAUAUUGUUCAGAUUUUUAUGUUACAAUUUUUAUAUUAAAUAAUAAAUUUAUAGUCUGUUGCCAAUGAUUCAGAAUUAAAGAAUAGUUAAUUUGGUUUAAAUU